rnacentral:rRNA from 1 species
GCAAGUCGAGCGAUCUGCCUUCGGGUAGAUAGCGGCGGACGGGUGAGUAACGCGUGGGUAACCUGCCCUUAAGACGGGAAUAACUUCGCGAAAGCGGGGCUAAUGCCCGAUGAUUUCUUUUGACGAUUGUUAAAAGAACAAAUGUGUUCCUUUUGGAAUUUCGCUUAAGGAUGGACCCGCGUCCUAUCAGCUUGUUGGUAAGGUAACGGCUUACCAAGGCUAAGACGGGUAACUGGUCUAAGAGGACGAUC